CUGACCAGCCAAGUCGCGUGAAGGAAGACGGCCCUACGGGUUGUAAACUUCUUUUGUAAGGGAAUAAAUAGUCUUACGAGCUAAGACGUUGCAGGUACCUUACGAAUAAGGAUCGGCUAACUCCGUGCCAGCAGCCGCGGUAAUACGGAGGAUCCGAGCGUUAUCCGGAUUUAUUGGGUUUAAAGGGUGCGCAGGCGGCAUGUUAAGUCGGCGGUGAAAUUUUGCAGCUCAACUGUAAAAGAGCCUUCGAAACUGGCAAGCUUGAGUGUGGAUGAAGUAGGCGGAAUUUGUGGUGUAGCGGUGAAAUGCAUAGAUAUCACAAAGAACACCGAUUGCGCAGGCAGCUUACUAAACCAUAACUGACGCUCAUGCACGAAGGCGUGGGGAUCGAACAGGAUUAGAUACCCUGGUAGUCCACGCAGUAAACGAUGAUUACUGGCUGUUUGCGAUACAAUGUAAGCGGCUGAGCGAAAGCGUUAAGUAAUCCACCUGGGGAGUACGUUCGCAAGAAUGAAACUCAAAGGAAUGGACGGA
rnacentral:rRNA from 1 species